AUUGAACGCUGGCGGCAGGCCUAACACAUGCAAGUCGAACGGUAACAGGAAGCAGCUUGCUGCUUUGCUGACGAGUGGCGGACGGGUGAGUAAUGUCUGGGAAACUGCCUGAUGGAGGGGGAUAACUACUGGAAACGGUAGCUAAUACCGCAUAACGUCGCAAGACCAAAGAGGGGGACCUUCGGGCCUCUUGCCAUCGGAUGUGCCCAGAUGGGAUUAGCUAGUAGGUGGGGUAACGGCUCACCUAGGCGACGAUCCCUAGCUGGUCUGAGAGGAUGACCAGCCACACUGGAACUGAGACACGGUCCAGACUCCUACGGGAGGCAGCAGUGGGGAAUAUUGCACAAUGGGCGCAAGCCUGAUGCAGCCAUGCCGCGUGUAUGAAGAAGGCCUUCGGGUUGUAAAGUACUUUCAGCGGGGAGGAAGGGAGUAAAGUUAAUACCUUUGCUCAUUGACGUUACCCGCAGAAGAAGCCCCGGCUAACUCCGU
rnacentral:rRNA from 1 species